rnacentral:lncRNA from 1 species
CUGUUCUGCAGUGUUAGAGCUGUGCAGGCUGCCCCUGUGUUCUGGUAUUUUUAAGGGCCAACCAAAGGUGGCCUUGUCCCCACAUGAUCUACCCCACUUGCCCACUGCUUGGGCCUGAAUUUCCACCAUAGGGAUAGAUUCCUUCAUGUUUGAGGUGCUGUUCCAGGUUGAAAGGUAACUUGUACCACAGUUCAGAGAGCAGUCACUGAUAGGUUAUCUCAUCUGAUGAUCACAGCUUCUCAAUUAUUGUCAUUAAAACCCUUUGACAGAUAAGGAGAUUAAAGUUCACAGAGGUGAAGCCACUGGGCUCCCAAGGUCAUCACUGGGUGCCAGAACUAGGAACAGAGCCCAUAUCUCCUGGUAACCAGGUGAAUUCUCUUUCCAGCUUACCUGUCAUUCAUUGCCUGCUGUGUUUUUCAUGCAUAUGUGACUCAUGCUUCCACCUAGAUCACAUGUUUCUUGAGGUCAGAGCCCUUUCUGUGAUCUGCUUUACCUGUUUGACUUGCCUUGGUACAGAGAAUGGAGCUGCAAGACUCCCCUGGUCAGAUCACGUCGGGUCUCCUGAAGACACCAGGAGGAUUCUACUGUGCACAGGUUGAUUCAGUGUGUUUCCCAGUAAAGAAAAUAGGAUGCGGCCGUGCGCAGUGACUUACACCUGUAAUCCCAGCACUUUGGGAGGCCGAGGCGGGUGGAUCACCUGAGCUUCACGGAGCUACCUGAGUCAGCGCCUGCAUCUCCACCACCAUCAUCAUCGUCACUGUCUUCAUCGCCUCUGGGCUGGACCAGCCCCUGCCUGUGAGCUCCCUGGAGCCAGAGGUGCAAAGUCUGCAAUGACACAAAAAGCCAGCACGCUGGGAGGGGCUCUGGAGACCAUCUCAUUGUUCAUUCAUUUGUCUAUUCAAUCCAUUUUAUUGACUGCUCACUGUGUGCCAGACACAUGGGCCCUGGAGAUACAGAAGAAACACGUGAGGUCCCUGCCCUCCAGGAAUUAAGAAGAUAAAGUCAAAAGUGCUGUAAAGAACAACAGGAUGAUGGGCCAGUAUUUGAAGAGGUCGUUUUCAGAUGGGGUGGGCAGGGAAGGCAUGUCUGAGAAAGGAAUCUUUGUGGACACCUUAAUGCUUAGGACAUGGGGCUGAGAAAAGCAGGCAGAGGAAUUUCAGAUAACGCCUCAGUUGGUAAAAAGCUAGGGGGAUGGUGCAGGCAAGGAAUAGAAGGAAGGACAGUGUGGUGGGAGUUUGGUGGUGAGUGAAAGAGGGGCCUGGGGACCGUGCACACUUGAAGGCUGUAGCCGGGCAUCUGGCUUGGAUUUUGAGGACUGAGGGGACCAUUACAGGGCUUUAGGCAUGGGGAUGGCACGAUCCAAUUUACAUUUUUCAUGUCAUUCCAUCUGCUUCCUGGAGAACACAUGAUAGGAAGAAGGAACGUGGAAGCAGGGAGACCAGUGAGGUGGUAACUCCAGAAACAAAGAGGUGGCGGCUGAUGGGGCGAGUGGGAGGAGCCUGACCCUGGUGGAUUUUGGAGGCACAGAAGGCAAACCUGCUGGGGGAUUGUCUGUGGGGGACAGGGAGAGCAAAGACUGGGUGCCUUCCUCUUCCUGCCUUCCUCUUCCCGCUUUGCACCCCUUCUGGCCUGAAUCAUCUCCCUCAGGGAGUGGUGCCCUCGGGUCCCAAGAGGGCUGCAGACUGCAGGCCUCCCUGAAGUGAAGAUGCAGCAAAGUGGAAGACAGCACACGGAAACCAUGCAGCAGCUCCCUCUGGGGAAGAGAAAGAGGGAGCCACGUUGCUCUAUACCCUGUGGACUUCUUGCAAUAUGAACCUUCAUGGACCUAAGAAAAAUAAUAAUAAAGGAAAAAAUAGCCAGGUGGGCUGGUUCACACCUGGGAUCCCAGCACUUUAGGAG